UCCGUAGGUGAACCUGCGGAGGGAUCAUUACAAGUGACCCCGGUCUAACCACCGGGAUGUUCAUAACCCUUUGUUGUCCGACUCUGUUGCCUCCGGGGCGACCCUGCCUUCGGGCGGGGGCUCCGGGUGGACACUUCAAACUCUUGCGUAACUUUGCAGUCUGAGUAAACUUAAUUAAUAAAUUAAAACUUUUAACAACGGAUCUCUUGGUUCUGGCAUCGAUGAAGAACGCAGCGAAAUGCGAUAAGUAAUGUGAAUUGCAGAAUUCAGUGAAUCAUCGAAUCUUUGAACGCACAUUGCGCCCCCUGGUAUUCCGGGGGGCAUGCCUGUUCGAGCGUCAUUUCACCACUCAAGCCUCGCUUGGUAUUGGGCAACGCGGUCCGCCGCGUGCCUCAAAUCGACCGGCUGGGUCUUCUGUCCCCUAAGCGUUGUGGAAACUAUUCGCUAAAGGGUGCUCGGGAGGCUACGCCGUAAAACAAACCCAUUUCUAAGGUUGACCUCGGAUCAGGUAGGGAUACUCGCUGAACUUAAGCAUAUCAAUAAGCGGAGGAAAAGAAACCAACAGGGAUUGCCUCAGUAACG
rnacentral:rRNA from 1 species